ACGUGCUUCGGGAGGGGACGCAGCGUUUGAUGGAGACCAAAGAAGGAAAUCCGAAAUCAUCGAGUUGAGAGACAGGGAGCGCUGUUCAUCGAAGAGGGGAGGCGGAAAUUACUCAAAUUAGUGUUCAUCGAUCAUCUUCUUCGGCUUGAGUGGUUCAGGGAGCGAGAGAGACGGACGGGACUGGUUCGAGCUCUUUGUCUUCAACCUUCGAAGGCGAGUUUGCGUGGGAGGAGACGCCGUUGGGUUCUUCUUCUUCGCUGCAGAACGCGAUCUCGACGGAGGAGAGUUUGGGAGAGAGUUCUACUGUUUUUGGUUCAGAAUUAAGAGAGAGAAGGCGCGACUGGCUUGUUCAUCUUCUUCUUCAAGUACGACGGCCUUGGGUGGAGGAGAAGCAGUGCUGGCGUGAAGAUAGAAACCCGUCGAACUGAACCAGAGGAGCUUGAGGAAGAGAGAUUUGCAUCAGUGUUUUGUUCGCUUUCCUUUUCUCUUUAUCCAAUUGCGGGGAAAGAAGAUGAAAGUCAAGGUCUUGCAUGGCAUGCUGUUGCGUCAUGGACUUGGGACGCUCAGGAUGAAACAUGUGGGAUUUGUAGGAUGGCCUUUGAUGGCUGUUGCCCAGACUGUAAACAUCCUGGGGAUGACUGCCCUUUGAUUUGGGGAGCAUGCAAUCAUGCUUUUCAUUUGCACUGUAUACUGAAAUGGGUGAAUUCUCAGACUUCGCAAGCUCAUUG